rnacentral:rRNA from 1 species
GACGAACCGUCCAAACGUUAUUCGGAAUCACUGGGCUUAAAGGGUGCGUAGGCGGUCUUGUAAGUUGGGUGUGAAAGCCCUCGGCUCAACCGAGGAACUGCGCCCAAUACUGCAGGACUUGAGGGAGAUAGAGGUGAGCGGAACUUAGGGUGGAGCGGUGAAAUGCGUUGAUAUCCUAAGGAACACCUGGGGCGAAAGCGGCUCACUGGAUCUUAUCUGACGCUGAUGCACGAAAGCUAGGGUAGCGAACGGG